rnacentral:rRNA from 1 species
GGAGUUAGCCGGUGCUUCUUCUGUGAGUGAUGUCCUUCCUGCCGGUUAUUGACCCGCAGGCCUUCUUCCUCACUGAAAGUGCUUUACAACCCGAAGGCCUUCUUCACACACGCGGCAUGGCUGGAUCAGGGUUGCCCCCAUUGUCCAAUAUUCCCCACUGCUGCCUCCCGUAGGAGUCUGGGCCGUGUCUCAGUCCCAGUGUGGCUGAUCAUCCUCUCAGACCAGCUACGGAUCGUCGCCUUGGUGAGCCGUUACCUCACCAACCAGCUAAUCCGACAUAGGCUCAUCCGAUAGCGCGAGGCCCGAAGGUCCCCCGCUUUCCCCCGUAGGGCGUAUGCGGUAUUAGCCUGGGUUUCCCCAGGUUAUCCCCCACUACCGGGCAGAUUCCUAUGCAUUACUCACCCGUCCGCCGCUCGCCACCAGGGAGCAAGCUCCCCGUGCUGCCGCUCGACUUGCAUGUGUUAGCGUCGCCGCCACGCGUUCACUACUGAGCCACUGAUACAACUACUCGA